UUCUUGAUAACUAACCCGUUUUUUAGGUGAACCUGCGGAAGGAUCAUUAAAGAGUUAGGGUCUAUACGGCCUGACCUCCCAACCCUUUGUGUAUUGAACCUGUGUUGCUUCGGCGGGCCCGUCGUGAGAACGACCGCCGGAGGACCGCCGAGAGGCGUCCUCUGGCCCGCGUCCGUCGGUGGCCUACACCUAAAAAAUUCUGAAUGAACCAUGUCAUAUGCCUAAGUUCUUUGAUAAAUAAAGCAAAAACUUUCAACAACGGAUCUCUUGGUUCUGGCAUCGAUGAAGAACGCAGCGAAAUGCGAUAAGUAAUGCGAAUUGCAGAAUUCCAGUGAGUCAUCGAAUCUUUGAACGCACAUUGCGCCCUUUGUAUUCCGAAGGGCAUGCCUGUUCGAGCGUCAUUAUCACCCCUCAAGCCCCCUGGGUUUGGUGUUGGACGGCUUGGUCGUGAGAAUCGACCCCUCCUAAAGACAAUGACGGCGGCCUCGUGGAACCCCCGGUACACUGAGCUUCUCUUUUUAAGCACGUAUCGGACGUUAAGGGUGCCCGGGUCACGGUCCUCUUCCCUGCGAAUAGCGGUGGAAAACACUUUUUUCUAAGGUUGACCUCGGAUCAGGUAGGAAUACCCGCUGAACUUAAGCAUAUCAAUAAGCGGAGGAAAAGAAACCAACAGGGAUUGCCUCAGUAACGGCGAGUGAAGCGGCAACAGCUCAAAUUUGAAAUCUGGCCUCUUUGGGGCCCGAGUUGUAAUUUGUAGAGGAUGUUUCGGGUACCGCCUCGGUUUAAAUUUCUUGGAACAGAAUGUCAGAGAGGGUGAGAAUCCCGUCUUGGACCGGCGGUAGGGCCCGUGUGAAACUCCUUCGACGAGUCGAGUUGUUUGGGAAUGCAGCUCAAAAUGGGUGGUAUAUUUCAUCUAAAGCUAAAUAUUGGCCAGAGACCGAUAGCGCACAAGUAGAGUGAUCGAAAGAUGAAAAGCACUUUGAAAAGAGAGUUAAACAGUAUGUGAAAUUGUUGAAAGGGAAGCGCUUGCAACCAGACUUGAGCGCGGCGGUUCCCCCUUCCUUUUGGCUGGGUCACUCCGCCGCGUCCAGGCCAACAUCGGUUCUGGGGGUCGGUUAAAGGCCCUGGGAAUGUAUCUACCCUCCGGGCGUAGACUUAUAGCCCAGGGUGUCAUGCGGCCUCCCGGGACCGA
rnacentral:rRNA from 1 species